UACGAAGGGGGCAAGCGUUGUUCGGAAUUACUGGGCGUAAAGGGCGCGUAGGCGGUGUGUCAAGUCAGGCGUGAAAGCCCCGGGCUCAACCUGGGAACCGCGCUUGAGACUGGCACGCUAGAGUUCGGGAGAGGAUGGUGGAAUUCCCAGUGUAGAGGUGAAAUUCGUAGAUAUUGGGAAGAACACCGAUGGCGAAGGCAGCCAUCUGGACCGACACUGACGCUGAGGCGCGAAAGCGUGGGGAGCAAACAGG
rnacentral:rRNA from 1 species